rnacentral:rRNA from 1 species
UAGGGAAUCUUCGGCAAUGGACGAAAGUCUGACCGAGCAACGCCGCGUGAGUGAAGAAGGUUUUCGGAUCGUAAAACUUUGUUGUUAGAGAAGAACAAGGACGUUAGUAACUGAACGUCCCCUGACGGUAUCUAACCAGAAAGCCACGGCUAACUACGUGCCAGCAGCCGCGGUAAUACGUAGGUGGCAAGCGUUGUCCGGAUUUAUUGGGCGUAAAGCGAGCGCAGGCGGUUUCUUAAGUCUGAUGUGAAAGCCCCCGGCUCAACCGGGGAGGGUCAUUGGAAACUGGGAGACUUGAGUGCAGAAGAGGAGAGUGGAAUUCCAUGUGUAGCGGUCAAAUGCGUAGAUAUAUGGAGGAACACCAGUGGCGAAGGCGGCUCUCUGGUCUGUACCUGACGCUGAGGCUCGAAAGCGUGGGGAGCAAACAGG